AAAAAGCCCGAGAUGAAGCCCGUGCAUCACUUUCAGUAUUCUCAGAGAACAGCCUGAUGUUACAGAAGUUCAUUUCAGUGAGAUUGAGGAACCAUCCCAAAGGAAGCACUUCACUACCUGUAUGGAUUACUGAAGACUCAGGUCAUUUCCUGUUGAUAUGGCAUCAUCACGGUAGUUCUCUUACUGAUUUUGAGGGAGCAAUGUCCACUCAACAUGUACAGUAACCUUCACACAACAGCACUAACAUUCCCCUUCAUGUACAGGUGCAAAGCAUCCUUCCAUUUUCAUAAAGUCACAAACAGAUCAAAAACUCCAUAUGUGAAGUGUCUGGUGAAGCUUUGUGGUCUGGCUGAAUUUGGCAGAGCACUAACAGAACAUGAAAUUGUCUGUGCAUUACUGUUGCUGCUCAGAUGGCGAGGAGUAAUUCUCAGUGCAGGGUGAUGCUGCUAAAGUUCUUCAUGAACUACCUGACUACAGAGGGAUAUUCACAGGUUUGCAAAGCCAUGGCCGACUAAACAGAAGAUGGUUGAGGGACACACAGAAGCUCCCAUCAAGUAUAAAGACCUUCAACUCUCCAGCAGUUACAGCAUUACAGAGACUAAGAAUGAGGAGAUGCCAGCCAGAUGUGGAAAUUAAUGUGAGUUCCUUUUUUUGUCAUUUGC